rnacentral:rRNA from 1 species
AGAGUUUGAUCCUGGCUCAGGAUGAACGCUAGCGGCAGGCCUAAUACAUGCAAGUCGAACGGAUCCAGGGGCUUCGGUUCCUGGGUUAGUGGCGCACGGGUGCGUAACGCGUAUGCAACCUACCUUCCACUGGGGGAUAGCCCACCGAAAGGUGGAUUAAUACCGCAUAUGAUCACACUCUGGCAUCAGGGAGUGAUGAAAGCUUUGGCGGUGGAAGAUGGGCAUGCGUGCCAUUAGCUAGUUGGCGGGGUAAGGGCCCACCAAGGCUACGAUGGCUAGGGGUUCUGAGAGGAUGGUCCCCCACACUGGUACUGAGACACGGACCAGACUCCUACGGGAGGCAGCAGUAGGGAAUAUUGGGCAAUGGAGGAGACUCUGACCCAGCCAUGCCGCGUGCAGGAAGAAGGCCUUCUGGGUUGUAAACUGCUUUUAUCUGGGAAGAAAACGCCUGUGCGCAGGUAACUGACGGUACCAGAUGAAUAAGCACCGGCUAACUCCGUGCCAGCAGCCGCGGUAAUACGGAGGGUGCAAGCGUUGUCCGGAUUUAUUGGGUUUAAAGGGUGCGUAGGCGGCCCGUUAAGUCAGCGGUGAAAUCCCACGGCUCAACCGUGGAACUGCCGUUGAUACUGGCGGGCUUGAGUUCGGUCGAGGCGGGCGGAACUGGUGGUGUAGCGGUGAAAUGCUUAGAUACCACCAAGAACCCCGAUUGCGUAGGCAGCUCGCUGGGCCGAAACUGACGCUGAGGCGCGAAAGCGUGGGGAGCGAACAGGAUUAGAUACCCUGGUAGUCCACGCCGUAAACGAUGAGUGCUAAGUGUUAGAGGGUUUCCGCCCUUUAGUGCUGCAGCUAACGCAUUAAGCACUCCGCCUGGGGAGUACGGCCGCAAGGCUGAAACUCAAAGGAAUUGACGGGGGCCCGCACAAGCGGUGGAGCAUGUGGUUUAAUUCGAAGCAACGCGAAGAACCUUACCAGGUCUUGACAUCCUCUGACACUCCUAGAGAUAGGAAUUUCCCCUUCGGGGGACAGAGUGACAGGUGGUGCAUGGUUGUCGUCAGCUCGUGUCGUGAGAUGUUGGGUUAAGUCCCGCAACGAGCGCAACCCUUGUUCUUAGUUGCCAGCAUUCAGUUGGGCACUCUAAGGAGACUGCCGGUGACAAACCGGAGGAAGGUGGGGAUGACGUCAAAUCAUCAUGCCCCUUAUGACCUGGGCUACACACGUGCUACAAUGGAUGGUACAAAGGGCUGCAAGACCGCGAGGUUUAGCCAAUCCCAUAAAACCAUUCUCAGUUCGGAUUGUAGGCUGCAACUCGCCUACAUGAAGCCGGAAUCGCUAGUAAUCGCGGAUCAGCAUGCCGCGGUGAAUACGUUCCCGGGCCUUGUACACACCGCCCGUCACACCACGAGAGUUUGUAACACCCGAAGUCGGUGGGGUAACCGCAAGGAGCCAGCCGCCUAAGGUGGGACAGAUGAUUGGGGUGAAGUCGUAACAAGGUA